CUGCUGCAGAUGCUGUUUGAGGAAGCUCUGCCCCUCAGCUGCUCUGAUCCUGUGCUUAGCACUCUUAGCCUGGUGCAGGGUCUGCUGUCUGCUCACUCUCACAGUGUCCUGCCCAGGGCCUGACCCUCCUGAGGGGCCCGGGACCCAGCGUGUGUGGCAAGGGGCUCUACGGAUCCUCCAGCUCCCAGGAGCCCCAGACAGGGUUUCACCAUGUCAGCCAGGCUGGUCUCAAACUCCUGACCUCAAGUGAUUCGCCAGCCUCGGCCUCCCAAAGUGCUGGGAUUACAGGUGUGAGCCACCGUGCCAGUGGAGAAUGUAUUACUUUUGUAAUUUAAAAAAUAAUAGUAAUAAAAUAAAGAUCUGUA
rnacentral:sRNA from 1 species